GAUGUCUCGUAAGGAGCCAUGUCUAAUUUGACUGUCAGUGUGGGAACGACAUGCAGAGCAAAGAGGCCAGGACGCUCUGUCCAAAGUGUCCCCUGUGGUGUACAUCCGACACGCUGGAUGGAGAUUCUGAGGGUCACAUCCGCUUCACACCCCCGAGGACGCUAAAGCUGUGACCUAAACAACGACUGCUUUCAAGCCAGCCUCCAAUUUGGAAAACACUUUCAAGUCAGCCCACACCUGCGGUGCACAUACAUCCUUUGCAUUACGGCAGAGGCCUGUAAAAACUGUUAGUUGUCAAUAACAAAUAUACAUUAAACAUACCUAAAAGUAAAAACAUUCUUAACAUAUUAAUAUGUACUGGAGUUUAAAUUUCAAUAAAUAGGAAAUAUGAAUUAAAUAAUGAAAUCAAUAAUAAUUUACUACCACAUUAUAACAUGCAUGAGCUAUCGUCCAUCUGUUUUUAGAUGGUUUUAAGUUGGGUCGGUGCUGCCCUGUGGACAAACUAGUUCUUUCCUGUUUGUAAAUGAACACAAAUGUGUCUUUUGAGUAAUACAAAGGUCACACAAACAGGAAAAAGUAUUGAUCCAUCUAUGUGUUUAUCGGUAUAUUUGUAUCUAUCUGUCUGAACCUUUGUGUCUAUGUAUUUACCUUUCUAUGUAUUUACCUUUGUAUCUAUCUAUCUAUCUAUCUAUCUGUCUGUCUGUCUGUCUGUCUGUCUGUCUGUCUGUCUGUCUGUCUGUCUGUCUGUCUGUCUGUCUGUCUGUCUGUCUGUCUGUCUGUCUGUCUGUCUGUCUGUCUGUCUGUCUGUCUUGUAUAUUGAAUCAUUUGUUAUCGUCACAUUUGUACAAACCACAUUGAAAUUGAACAUUUGCAUUUAACUAAUCUUAGUAUGAGGAUGCAGGCAGCUACUAUACACUGCCUGCAGGGUCAGGGAGCAGUAGCUAUGGGGAGGCAGAGUAGCAUAUUGCUGGGUACCAUUCCACCCUCUGCUCUGUUCAAAAGCUUAAAACAUGAACACUGCAAAGCUUUAUACUGAUUAGUUAUGCUCCUGGUAACCCAGGGCUAUUCACAGUGAGAAUCAAAACAUUGCAUUUAUUUGAAAAUGAUGCAGAAUAAAUUGAUUCUGCAAUAUGUGUGGGAAAUGUAUUUAUAUUUGUUUAUGUUGAUGAUACUAGAAAAUGUUAUCACAUGGAACUGUUUAUCAGCUUCUUUAACAGCCUUUAACAGUCCUUAUGAGCCCACUCAUAAGGUGUUGUUAUAUACUGUAUAUCUGUCAUAUAGUAUGUUGUUCGCCGUGAAGUAACCAAGUUGUUAUUCAUUAAGUUUAGGAUCCACGAAAGUGUGAAUUGUUUUGUAAAACAUGCACAUAAAUUAGCAGCUGUGGGUCCUAUUGAUUCAUACAUAAUUUAGGCAAGCACUAAAAACUGCAGAGCAGCCAACAGUAGGCAUACAGCUAAAUUACAAUUGCAAUUGUACUUGACGUUCGUUCCAAAGAGCUCUUUGUUCCAAAUCAAUCAGUUGAUUAAUAAUGAUUUGUUCCUGAUUAAUGAUUGGGGAUGUAAAGUGGUUGUCGUCGUGUCAUUAUUGAAAAAGCCUCAUUGCAUUUUAAUGAAUUGCAUUCUUUUCUUUUGGUAAUAUUGUAGACUGUGAGAAUUUUUAUAAUUAAGCGUGGAAUAAAUAUGCAUGGCAAAAACGAAAGAAAUCCCAAACUCUAAAUGUGUUUUGCAUCA